ensembl:snRNA U6 U6 spliceosomal RNA
GUGUCACUUCGGCAGUACAUACACUAAAAGUUGGAGUGGUAUGGGAAAGGUUCGCAUGGUCCCUGCACAAGAAUGACACAAACAUUCAUGAAGCAUUCCAUAAUUUU